rnacentral:rRNA from 1 species
GACGAACCGUGCGAACGUUGUUCGGAAUCACUGGGCAUAAAGGGCGCGUAGGCGGCUUUUCAAGUCAGGGGUGAAAUCCGGCAGCUCAACUGUCGAAGUGCCCUUGAUACUGAUGAGCUCGAGGGAGGUAGGGGUAUGUGGAACUUCCGGUGGAGCGGUGAAAUGCGUUGAUAUCGGAAGGAACGCCGGUGGCGAAAGCGGGUCUCUGGGCCAUAACUGACGCUGAGGAGCGAAAGCGUGGGGAGCGAACAGG